UACAGAGGGGGCAAGCGUUGUUCGGAAUUACUGGGCGUAAAGGGCGCGUAGGCGGCCCGCUAAGUCGAACGUGAAAUCCCCGAGCUCAACUCGGGAACUGCGUCCGAUACUGGCGGGCUUGAAUCCGGGAGAGGGAUGCGGAAUUCCAGGUGUAGCGGUGAAAUGCGUAGAUAUCUGGAGGAACACCGGUGGCGAAGGCGGCAUCCUGGACCGGCAUUGACGCUGAGGCGCGAAGGCGUGGGGAGCGAACGGG
rnacentral:rRNA from 1 species